rnacentral:rRNA from 1 species
GAGAGGACGAUCAGCCACACUGGCACUGCGACACGGGCCAGACUCCUACGGGAGGCAGCAGUAAGGAAUAUUGCGCAAUGGGCGAAAGCCUGACGCAGCGACGCCGCGUGGGGGAUGAAGGUCUUCGGAUUGUAAACCCCUUUCGGGAGGGAAGAUGGAAUGGGGUAACCCAUUCGGACGGUACCUCCAGAAGCAGCCACGGCUAACUUCGUGCCAGCAGCCGCGGUAAUACGAAGGUGGCAAGCGUUAUUCGGAUUUACUGGGCGUACAGGGAGCGUAGGCGGUUCGGUAAGCCCUUUGUGAAAUCUCCAGGCUUAACCUGGAACAGUCGGAGGGGACUGCCGGGCUAGAGGACGGGAGAGGAGCGCGGAAUUCCCGGUGUAGCGGUGAAAUGCGUAGAGAUCGGGAGGAAGGCCGGUGGCGAAGGCGGCGCUCUGGAACGUUUCUGACGCUGAGGCUCGAAAGCGUGGGGAGCAAACAGGAUUAGAUACCCUGGUAGUCCACGCCUUAAACUAUGAAUACUAAGUGUCGGCGGGUUACCGCCGGUGCCGCAGCUAACGCAUUAAGUAUUCCGCCUGGGAAGUACGGCCGCAAGGUUGAAACUCAAAUGAAUUGACGG